rnacentral:rRNA from 1 species
UACGGAGGGUGCAAGCGUUAUCCGGAUUCACUGGGUUUAAAGGGUGCGUAGGCGGGCAGGUAAGUCAGUGGUGAAAUCUCCGGGCUUAACCCGGAACUGCCGUUGAUACUAUCUGUCUUGAAUAUCGUGGAGGUAAGCGGAAUAUGUCAUGUAGCGGUGAAAUGCUUAGAUAUGGCAUAGAACACCCAUUGCGAAGGCAGCUUACUACACGAUCAUUGACGCUGAGGCACGAAAGCGUGGGGAGCAAACAGG